ensembl:lncRNA
GCUGGGUACCUGAAGAAAACCUGGUGUUACUCGUGUAUUAAACUGGUGUAUUAAAGACUGAGGCAAAUAAAGCAUUAAGUACAUCAGCCUUUUGCGUUAAGUACAUCAGCCUUUUCCUUAUCCUUUAUGUCUCUGUUUUCCCCUAGAUCCAAUAAAAGAUGGAGAUUCUCCUUAGCCCUCCUUUUGUUGAUAAUGUAUUCAUAGAAACAUUUUUUUGGUCUUUUACUGCAAUAGCCAGAUUAAGUUCUAGUUGGGCUUUGGCCCUUCUAAUUUUCUUCCUGCAUAACCUCACAACAUCCUUGCAGUCCCUCCUGAGUUGCCUGCCCCUUCUUCCAAAGGCCAUAUACUCUGCUUUUUUUCCUGAGUUCCAGCCAAAGCUCUCUGUUCAGCACAUGGGGACAGCCUGCUCUAUGCCUUUAAGAUUUCCUUCUGGAAGAAAGUCCAGCCUUCCUGGACUCUUGCCCUUCAGGACUGCCUCCCAGGGAACUCAGUCAACCAGGCUUCUAAACAGGUCAAAGUCUGCCCUCCAGAAGUCCAAGGUGGCAGUUCUGCUGAGCCCCCUCCUUACUUCUCCAAGAAUCCCAGGAAUAAAAAACUCUAUUAUUAUGUAUAACUAUGAACAAUUUUCUCUUUGUAUCAUAAAAAUCCCAAAUAAUUUUCUUUUUAAUGCCAUAUAAAUUCGCACUUGCUCCACUAAAGACCAUGUUUCUACCUGUAUAAAGGUUAGUAAACAGCAAGAUCAUGAUGCUAAUAUUUUUUUCCUGUGUUUGAAGAGACUCCUUAAUCUAUACACCCACUUGCCACUUCUAAGAACUGCUUUUAUGUUUUCCAUGCUCCAGCCAUAUAAAAUAGGAAAAGAAAAUGUAGUGAAUGGAGAAGAUGAUGUUUCCCACCAUUAAUGCCAGUGGAGUACUCUUACCACAGAACUACAGUUAUUGUUCCUUGCAUUUAUUCUUGAUGCCUAUAGUAAAGCUUUACCUUAAAUUAAUGCUUAAACACUAAAAUAGGUUACUUUCCAUAACUGGAAAUUCUCUGAAACUGAAGGUGCCAAACUUUGCUGAAACUGGCUUUAUUGGAAAAUGGGUUUGUCAAGGGUAAUGGUGUGAGGUAUUACUAUGUUCAGGAUUUUGUACCAGCAUUGGUAUUUGGCCCUGUGGACACAGUAUUUCAGACCUGUCCAGGGACAAACUGCUCCUCAGCCACCUGUUCUGGAAAAUAGCAAAAUAAGAUUCUUUAAGCAUACUUGAAUUACAGAUAGGAAAGAAACACACCCAAUUUAUAGAUCCAUCACCUAAGCAGAUAAGAAGUAAAACCAGAAUAUACACUAGGAAAGACUAAAGUAUUCAAUGGCUUUUUGCUUCAUUCUUCUAAAGCUGGUUAAUUCUGCCCGGACAUGUAGACAUGCAGAGUCUUGCAUAGAAAUAAUACUUAAAAUAUUUAGAAAAAAUUAAUGGAUUCAAAAGCAGAUCAUCUGAAAGUCCUGACACAAGCCGUCUUUGAACAACUAGAAUUAUCUGGUAUCCAGAGAGGUACCAAAUGCAUGUAGGAGAACGUACAUAAAUUUAAAAAAUUGAGAAAAAAAUCAAAAUAAAGCAGUCACCUUAACUCGAUACCUGGAAGUUUACUAACAAAAGUGAUCAAGCAACCAACCAAGAAACAUUUUGAGGUUAAUUAGGUGGUAAGUAUAAACUAUGUCAAAGCUGUUCGUGUUCUUUCUUUAGAAGAAAACUUACCUCUUGAAUAAGCCAUAGACAGAAGAUACAAUAGAUGGCAGCAUCAGAAAGGUUCUGAAAUUAUGUGACAAAAAAGACACAAUCUAGAUCAACAAAUUUAUGGCUUCAUAGUGGAGAUGGCAACUUAUGAAUGUGAUAUUAAAUGAAAUUAAAGUACUGAAAGUAGAUUUGUGUUCCUAGAAACUCAUACAACAAUGAUAAAAGACACC